UACAGAGGGGGCAAGCGUUGUUCGGAAUUACUGGGCGUAAAGGGCGCGUAGGCGGCCUGCUAAGUCGAACGUGAAAUCCCCGGGCUCAACCCGGGAACUGCGUCCGAUACUGGCAGGCUUGAAUUCGGGAGAGGGAUGUGGAAUUCCCAGUGUAGAGGUGAAAUUCGUAGAUAUUGGGAAGAACACCGGUGGCGAAGGCGGCUCUCUGGACCGACACUGACGCUGAGGCGCGAAAGCGUGGGGAGCAAACAGG
rnacentral:rRNA from 1 species